GAGUUUGAUCCUGUGCUCAGGACGAACGCUGGCGGCGUGCUUAACACAUGCAAGUCGAACGGUAAGGCCCCAGCUUGCUGGGGUACACGAGUGGCGAACGGGUGAGUAACACGUGGGUGACCUGCCCCGCACUUCGGGAUAAGCCUGGGAAACUGGGUCUAAUACCGGAUAGGACCGCACCGUGAGGGUGUGGUGGAAAGUUUUUCGGUGUGGGAUGGGCCCGCGGCCUAUCACCUUGUUGGUGGGGUAAUGGCCUACCAAGGCGGCGACGGGUAUCCGGCCUGAUAGGGUGGACGGCCACAUUGGGACUGAGACACGGCCCAGACUCCUACGGGAGGCAGCAGUGGGGAAUAUUGCACAAUGGGCGGAAGCCUGAUGCAACGACGCCGCGUGGGGGAUGACGGCCUUCGGGUUGUAAACUCCUUUCACCAUCGAGGAAGGUUUUCUGACGGUAGAUGGAGAAGAAGCACCGGCUAACUACGUGCCACCAGCCGCGGUAAUACAUAGGGUGCGAGCGUAGUCCGGAAUUACUGGGCGUAAAGAGCUCGUACGUGGUUUGUCACAUCGUCUGUGAAAUUCCGGGGCUUAACUCCGGGCGUGCAGGCGAUACUGGCAUAACUUGAGUACUGUANGGGAGACUGGAAUUCCUGGUGUAGCGGUGAAAUGCGCAGAUAUCAGGAGGAACACCGGUGGCGAAGGCGGGUCUCUGGGCAGUAACCGACGCUGAGGAGCGAAGCAUGGGUAGCGAACAGGAUUAGAUACCCUGGUAGUCCAUGCCGUAAACGGUGGGCGCUAGGUGUAGGGGUCUUCCACGACUUCUGUGCCGUAGCUAACGCAUUAAGCGCCCCGCCUGGGGAGUACGGCCGCAAGGCUAAAACUCAAAGGAAUUGACGGGGGCCCGCACAAGCGGCGGAGCAUGUGGAUUAAUUCGAUGCAACGCGAAGAACCUUACCUGGGCUUGACAUAUACGGGACCGGGCCAGAGAUGGUCCUUCCCUUGUGGCUCGUAUACAGGUGGUGCAUGGUUGUCGUCAGCUCGUGUCGUGAGAUGUUGGGUUAAGUCCCGCAACGAGCGCAACCCUUGUCUUAUGUUGCCAGCACGUAAUGGUGGGGACUCGUGAGAAACUGCCGGGGUCAACUCGGAGGAAGGUGGGGAUGACGUCAAAUCAUCAUGCCCCUUAUGUCCAGGGCUUCACACAUGCUAUAAUGGUCGGUACAGUGGGUUGCGAUGCCGUGAGGUGGAGCUAAUCCCUGAAAGCCGGUCUCAGUUCGGAUCGGGGUCAGCAACUCGACGCCGUGAAGUCGGAGUCGCUAGUAAUCGCAGAUCAGCAACGAUGCAGGUGAAUACGUUCCC
rnacentral:rRNA from 1 species